GGGCUUGGUUUGGCAGCACACAGAGUUGGAACGACACAGGGAUAGCUUGGCAUGGUCUCUGCCCAAGGAUGACAUGCAAAUUUAGAAGGAUUCCAGCCUUUU
ensembl:snRNA U6 U6 spliceosomal RNA